rnacentral:lncRNA from 1 species
UGUGAAUAUUCAAAUGUUCAUAUACAUAUUAUGAGUUUAUUAUACCACAAAAAGUAUAAGUGGCCAGUACAGUUUAAGAUGACUAAUAUACUAUUUUCAAAUGUACUGCUUUUUGGUAACAUGGAAUCUCAAGUAUUUAAUUGAAAAUUAAACAGAUUUAGUUAAAGACUUCCAAAGCUAAAACAAUUUUAUUAAAAAAUGGACUGAUUCUCCUUAUGCAAUUAUAAAUAUUUCAGUAAAUUUUUGGACUCAUUUUUUAAAAUGUUAGAUUAUUUUCCCAAGAUUUUUCUUUGGUUGAUUGUGGAAAACUGGACUGUUAUAAAUGUUUAGAUCAACUGGAAGUAGACCCUAUUCUUGUCUUUCUUCAGGAGAUUAAAGAUUUGUUCUAGAAAAAAUAGCAGACUCCAGUACCCAACAUAAAUGUUAGGCCUGUGUACCCACAAAUAUACAUAUGUGCUUAUACUGUAUCUUUCCUAUCUCUGCUGGCACAGGAGUAGGAUAGAUUAUUAGGUUACAUUAGGAAUGCAUAGCAUUUUCUCUAACAUGUACGUUGAAACACAUUUCUGGGUAAUUUUAUGUGUCUGGUAAAAUUGUGUCCCCAGUUGCUAUAUUAACAGAUAGUUAACCUGAGUAUAAUUACUUAACAUAAUUUUUUUAUGAACUGUAAUCAGUCUUCAGGAAACUCAUUAUUAUAUCUCUAUUUGUAGACGAAUGUAAUGCCAACCACGAAAGAGGGCAUCUUUGCCCUAUAGUGGAUUUCUUAUAAUUGAGUUAAAGGUUAUGAAAAGAUAAAAUACUGAAGGUCAGAGUAGCAGGAAAUGAAAGAUAGCAUGUGACUUGAAGUAAUGAUAUUUUGAUGUAACUUAUUAUGCAGCAUAGUCAGAGAAAAAUUAAAAAAUAACUGUUGUGCAUAUGUGGAUAUCCUGAGUAGCUGAUGGAAUGUAGCUUCAGCGCCCCUUGCUUAGAUAUGCCCCUUCCAAGGUCCUGUACCUAAUGUUGCAUUAGAAAAUUUGUAUUUUGUUUCUUUCUUGAAGAAGAUCAGAAAAAUUGUAUACAUUUCUGGCCCUACAAAAUCUAUAUCAGUCUCUGAGAAUAUGGUAAAAUAACUUCCAUUAUUUUUUCUAGUAGAAAUAAACAUGGGACAUUUAUAGAAUAUAUUUUUAAAUAAUAAAGUUUUGAGUUAAUUGAAGUAUCUAAAUAUAACUAUAAAUGGUUUUCUCAUAAUAUAUAUCUUGCGACAUAUAAAGAGAGGGGUCACUUCUGACAUAUUUUAUGAUUAAGUUCUGAAUGAUAGAAAAACAACAAAAUUUUUAAAAAAUAUUUUAUUUAUGAGAGACAGAGAGAGAGGCAGAGACACAGGCAGAGGGAGAAGCAGGCUCCAUGCAGGGAGCUUGAUAUGGGACUGGAUCCUGGGACCUCAGGAUCAUGCCCUGGGCCAAAGGCAGACGCUCAACCACUGAGCCACCCAGGAGUCCCUAUAACUCUUUUUCUUACUUAGGAAAGAAAUAUAGCGAGAUUGAGGAUUUGAAUGCAGGGGACUAAAAGAUUGAUUUUACUUAAAUAUAAUCUUGCUUCAUUCUACCCUACACAACAUGCUGUAUGUUGGUGCUGACAAUGUUUACAGAGUCAUAUUUUACUUUGCUAACAAUUUAAAGUCAGGAAUUAAAGCAUGACAAUGUGUAACUGGCAAGAAGAAACUUGUAGCAGAUAUAAAUUAGAGAGAAGAUAAUGAGACAUCUUGACAGCUUCUGUUUACAUAAUCUAUAAGGUAAAAACUUAUUACCUAUAAAUAUAUUUUAGGUUAAUUUUCUCAUAAACAUAAAAAUAUUUUUAAAUGUAUAUCAAUAUAUAUAAUACUUAAGAGUGUAACCUCUGGUAGUUUUAAUACUGUACUUAAAAAGAUAUCUUAACAGCCAAAUUUUGAAGAUAAUUCUUACUUCUUUUUGUUGCAUUUUCAAAUCAGUUGAUUAUGUCUAAAAAUAAAUGCUUGGUUUAUUCUUAGAUACACUACAAAAUUCUCAAAUGUAAAUCCUAGUCUCACAAAGUUCACCAGUUUUCCAUGUUGUGAGAUAUUGUCCUUUGCAAUCUCCUAAGGAUAUUAGCUUGAUCUUUCUGAACCAUUUCUGUUUUUGUCUUUUAGAUCAAUCAAUUAUUUCCUUUGUUUUAUUUGUCCUAUUUGGACAUGGUAUCCUCUAAAUGGGAGUGAAUCUUAAUUAAUUUGAAUUUAUGUUCAAUGACUCUAGAUAUCUUUAGUGUGAAACUGCCACUUGGUUUACUCCCUUGGGAGUCCUCAGCUCUCUUUGUUACCAUUGGCUUUAAAAUAUCACUAGGGGAUGGUGAUCUCAAGUAGUUAUCUAUUACAUGUGUGUAUUUCAACUCUUGGAUCAAGGGUACAUUUAUGGUACCAAUAACAGCCUUAACAGUUUAAUAAAUAUUCUCUCAAGAAAACUGUGGAGUAGUAGGCCUUUGAGAGCCAUGCAGAUGGAUGCACUGGUUUGAAAGUGGACAUACUUGUUUUUCCCUCAACAUACACACUACUGACUUUUUAAAAAGUAUGACUUUCAAGUGAAUUAAUUUAUUGGUUAGAAGAUUUGUUUGCUGAGUCCUUAUUACCUCUUGAAGUCUUUAAAGGUCAUGCUGAAAGCUGAAGAAACAAGCAAAAAAGACUGAUGCACAGUUAAUGUCUUUUGCAGAAGUGACUAUUUUGAGCAUCUUGUGUGACGGUGUACUUUGCACAGAAUCCUGUGGCAAAACAUAUUAGGCCUUUGGAUGUUACAUCUGUAUAAUUGGUUGCAUUGUGAGGGAUCUUAGAUGAUGAUUGUGAAGAUAAGACCUCACUUACUCCUAGUUAACAGUCUUCAGUACAUGCUCAGAAGCUCAUUUGUGUUACACCUAGAGGCAAUGCAAUGUGGUUCCCUGGUUGUAGGUUUGAGCUUAUUUCAAAAGAUUUAUGAAUUAUUUUUUCCCUAGAAUUUCUCCUUCAUUCCAAAUUUCCAUUUACUGGCUAAUGUAAUAUAAAGAAUAUUAUAUUAAAGUAAAAUAAUACUUUAGGGGAAUAGAUUGUUUGCAAUGAGCGUAUGCUUUUAACAGAAUAGGAGUGAUCUACAUUAAGCUACUGUUGUUUUAAUGAUUUUUCAAACACUACCAUAUAGCACUUUUUAAUUUCUCUGGAAGAAAAAAAAAAACAAUAUAUAUCUAUGGUUACUACACAAACCACAAGAAUCCUCUAAAGAUUUUAAGUGGUCUUGGGUUGUUUUUGAUCUUCUCCCUUGGAGAAAUUUUUUACCUAAUAGUUUUCCCUUGCAAAUAGUACGACUAACGCUAUAAAUCUGGAGCUAGACUGUUGAUAACUCACAUCUUGAAAACCAGAUUCUUCUUUUGACAUUAUCCAUGAGUAGAGAGUGAUAUAUGACUUUCCUCUUUGAGGAUAUCUGAGGCCAAUGCUAUUUUCAACACAGGCAUAGGCUUCAAGUUUCCAUUUCUUUGUAGAAAUGUUGCAAUAUAAUAGUAAUGAGUUUUCAGUGGUACCCCACAACAUUUUGAGAACUUUGCAAAUGUAAGCAUCAGAUGUGUUGAGAGUGCAUUGCUCAGUACCAUGAAAUAUAGAAGUCUUCUCUCAGUGCCAAAUUGGUGAGCAGACAUGUAGAUGUGCUUUAUAAUAAAUACAAAUAAGAAAAAGGCAACAAAUGGACUCUUGUAUUGAGUCCUUGACAAAUUAAUUUGUCCUACUUUUCUGACAAAGAUUUGACUCCAGAUUUCACAGUUUUGUUUUGUUUUGUUUUGUUUUGUUUAAUAUAUACUUACUUUAAUAUGGAUUAGCUAGUAGUGAUGCACUGGUAGAGAUGGUAUUUAGCUAUUGACUCAGAAUUCAUUUCAUGAUGAGUUUUUCGUGUCUUCUUAUCAUAUGUAUAUCUGUAUUUACUUUGUUAAAAAGAGAUUUAGUGAGCUUCGUGUUAAAAUCUGCCUAGGGAUAGUGACUUGUUUUUCAGUUAUCAAGGGAUAGAAAAUAUAUGUGCUGGUAUGUUCAUAUCAGCAUAUUAUUAGGUACCGUAUAUGAACGUAUUUAAAUGCCUCUGACAUUCUAUGGCAAGCAUCAAUAAUUUGCAUCCAUGGAGUCAGGUUAGCCCGGUGGGAAAAAAUGGUAGUCAGAAUACUCUGGAGGGUUGUGCUGUCAGCCAUCUCUGAUCUAUGCUUCAAUUCUAAUUUAUAGACCAGCUCUAUCCCCUUAACUUGGCUCUCGAAUGUCUGUCAUGGCCUUGUACCAUCCCCCUAACUGAGGGGCAGUGUCCCCAGUGCUCCUCAUCUGUGAUAGGGUUUCUUCACUGUGGCAUUAUGGUGGUAAAACAUGGUAAAGGGGUCUGUGUGUAUUUUGUACAGAUUUUACACAAUGUCUUAUAUCGAUAAAUUCUUAAACAGCAAAAUUCCUUUUAUGCAUCUACAUUCCAACCAUAUUAGGAGUACUGAUUUAUUUAGAUAUUUAACUAUGAAAAUAUAAAUGGUGCAAAGGGACAUUCAUGUGUGGAUUGUGUUGUGUUUCUUAAGGUUCUCUGGCACUGAUGUCUAUACCAUCAUGUGAUAUGUGAAAUAAAAAGGAUUUUUCUACAGCUUAAUGAUUUCCCUCUGGGGAGAGUUCUUGUGCAGCAAUCACACUGCCAGAUGGUGUUUAUGGGCUAUUUGUGUAAGUGGUAAGAUAUUAUGAAAUAAGAGUGCUUUCAUCUGAUAGAAAGUCUUGACACAUGUGUUUUUUGUAUGGAAUAAAUUUUGGUGCAAUAUGGUGUCACUCAAUUUUGCAAUGGAUUUGAUAUCAAUUGUACUUAUGUAUAUGCAUACCCGUCAUGCUUCUAGUUGCUUCAACCUUUGUAUGUUUUUUUGUCCAUAUUUUUACUUGAAAAUACUUUAAAUGGAAAUGAAAUAAACAUUUGAUAGUUUACAUAAGA